rnacentral:rRNA from 1 species
UACGGAGGGUGCGAGCGUUGUCCGGAAUCACUGGGCGUAAAGGGCGCGUAGGCGGCCUGAUAAGUAAGGGGUGAAAUCCUGCGGCUUAACCGCAGGGCUGCCUUCUAAACUGUCAGGCUUGAGCACAGUAGAGGCAGGUGGAAUUCCCGGUGUAGCGGUGGAAUGCGUAGAGAUCGGGAAGAACAUCAGUGGCGAAGGCGGCCUGCUGGGCUGUUGCUGACGCUGAGGCGCGACAGCGUGGGGAGCAAACAGG